UACGGAGGGUGCGAGCGUUGUCCGGAUUCCUUGGGCGUAAAGCGCGCGUAGGCGGCUCCGCACGUCGGCCGUGAAAUCUCCGGGCUCAACUCGGAGGGGUCGGGCGAGACUGCGAGGCUCGAGGUGGGCAGAGGGCAGUGGAAUUCCGGGUGUAGUGGUGGAAUGCGUAGAGAUCCGGAGGAACACCAGUGGCGAAGGCGGCUGCCUGGGCCUGGCCUGACGCUGAGGCGCGAUAGCAUGGGGAGCAAACAGG
rnacentral:rRNA from 1 species